GGCAGGCCAGGCGAUCGCGUGCGCGAGCAUGAGGAAAGUCCGGGCUCCACAGGGCAAGGAUGCCGUGAUAACGUCCGGCGUAGGCAACUAUAGGGAAAGUGCAACAGAAACAUACCGCCGAAACGGGUCAUGCCGUGGCAAGGUUGAAAUGGUGAGGUAAGAGCUCACCGGGGGCAUGGAGACAUGUCCGCCGUGUAAACCCCAUCCGGAGCAAGGUCGGGGGCGAUAAGGUGGCUGCCCGUCACCCGCCUGAUUGGUGGACCGCAUGAGCCAGCCGAGAGGUUUGGCCUUAGAUGGAUGAUCGCUUAAUACAGAACCCGGCUUACAGACCUGCCCA
rnacentral:RNase_P_RNA from 1 species